GGGGAAUAUUGGACAAUGGGCGCAAGCCUGAUCCAGCAAUACCGCGUGUGUGAAGAAGGCCUGCGGGUUGUAAAGCACUUUCAAUUGUGAAGAAAAGCGGGGGGCUAAUACCCUUCUGUCUUGACGUUAACUUUAGAAGAAGCGCCGGCUAACUCUGUGCCAGCAGCCGCGGUAAUACAGAGGGUGCGAGCGUUAAUCGGAAUUACUGGGCGUAAAGCGUGCGUAGGCGGUUUAGUAAGUCAGAUGUGAAAGCCCUGGGCUUAACCUGGGAACUGCAUUUGAAACUGCUGAACUAGAGUGUGGUAGAGGGAAGUGGAAUUCCGGGUGUAGCGGUGAAAUGCGUAGAUAUCCGGAGGAACACCAGUGGCGAAGGCGACUUCCUGGACCAACACUGACGCUGAGGUACGAAAGCGUGGGUAGCAAAC
rnacentral:rRNA from 1 species